UGCAGACAUUAUACUAACAGUUAGAAGCCAGUUAGAGCCAGUAACUCACCUUGCUGAAUUUUAGUUAGUAGCUGAUGGCGUGCAAGAAUCCUACUCAUCCUGUAUGGAGAGCGUCUCGUAGUCUGAUCAAAUCAGUGCAACAGUUUUGACAGGAGAGACUGAAGGAGUUCCCCAGCUAUCCCACAGCUCAGUGAUUGGUGCACGCUUCUGAGGAUUUGAACAGGGGUCUCCUCCUUUCUCCCCAGGAAGCAGAAAGGAGGGAAUUGAAUGUGCAUUUCCUACAUCCCUGGAAAAGACUUGUGUGACUAGUUUGGUCACAGAGACCCCCUUGGGACUGCCACCUGAUGUGCUGAGACCAUCUCUGAGCCUGUUUUCCCUGCCAGCUUGGGACUUCAGAAGCCUGCCUUGUUGAACCAGACAUGCCUGCUGCAAACAUAGACCCAGGUCUGAACCACGUCCCAAAACCUGCAGACUUAACUAAAAACAGCUUAAGAAAUGCUCCUGUCUCCAGCACCCAGAUACCCAGUUCCCAAUGGGAUCCAAACCCCAAAUAAAUCCGUUUUACUCCAUAUAAAAUUUAUACAGGAUAAAUGCAUAAAUUAUCCAUCCUCUAUAACACUGAUAGAGAGAUGCACAGCUCUUUGCUCCCCCAGGUAUCAAUUAAGAACACAAG